ensembl:lncRNA
GUAGGUGAUGACUGAGUGACGUUUUUAGAUUUGCAACAAAGACUGAAUAGACUGUUUAUAUGUUCUUAAUCUUAUCCACGGUUCUCACUUUAUAUUUCAGUUGCGAUUGAACACAUUAAUACUGGUGUUAAUAUUGACAAGAUUUGCGCUUUAUAAAAAUCUGCAUUUUAAGGGUUGAAAAUGGAUCAACACACUACAAACUUAAAUAUACUGUUUAAAAUCAUCCUGAACCUUGCGAGGCUGAUGCUGACGUCGAGUAAACCGUUUGGUACAAACUUACUUCAAGAUAUUCAAAGCCUAUUGGAGAGAUUGUUUUUUUAUCUCCACCUGCUGGUUGGAACGUUGCUUUCAAUGCUGACGUGAAAUAUUCGGGACUAGGAACAAACAAUGAUAACUUGCUCAGAGCUAACAGCCUAUUCAGUUUGAAUGAGCGGUUUAUGAAUGAACGGCUUCUUUCAUUCGCAUGCUAAUUGAACGUCUAUCUAAGAGCACGUUGCAAGAUGCGAAAUUGUUGCGAAAGAAAAUGAUGUGUUGGCUGAAACUGGAAAUGAAAGGUGUAGGAGUGAGCCCGCUGCACGGACAGUGAGGAUGUGAGAGAACUAGCGUGUCGGACCAGUAUGUUCAUCAGCAGCACAUAGUAGGAUACAACGCACAAUAAAGAACCAUGGGUGCCAGGUUCUGGUUUAUUUUGGUUAUUGCCAAUGAAGUGGCUGCCUUCACACGUCCACACCAACCUCCACCAUGUGAAGUGGGUAAGUGAUUACUGAGUGACGAUUUUAGAUUUUUGUAACAAAAAACUGAAUAGACUGUUUUUUUAUGUUUUAAAUCUCAUCCACAGUUCUCACAUUAUAUUGUAAUAAGAUGCUUGCGUGUUUUUGAAAAAAUAACAACAGUUUGCAGAGCUUUGCCUUUGAGUGGUAAGAGAGUGGGCUUAGACUCUAUCCCCCGUAUUUGGAAGAACACUUUGAGCCACUGCGCCCAAAUGGAGUUGAUCAAAUGCUAAUGCCUUGGGCUGUGCCCCAAUUGGAAUGCCCUUACCGCCCGUGCGGAGCGUAUGCAUUUGAACAACAAAGUAUUAUAGACUGUACAAUACAUUUGGACUCUAUGCUAGCUGAGUCUGCUCUUCUCUAAAAUGCUAGCCAAAUAAAACAUAAAUGAUGUUCUAUGUGUAUUUUGUACCAAGCAGGAAAUCAUUUUGGUUGUAGCAAUUCAUUCAUGCCAGCAUAAAUAGAUACUGCUUUAAUGCUUAGUCAAGCUCUGCAAUUUUUUGCAAUUUCUCUGUAAUUACCUACAUUAAUCCACUCUGUGGUUUUUAAUUUAAAUCAUACACUAAGGA